GAUGAACGCUGGCGGCGUGCCUAAUACAUGCAAGUCGAGCGAACGGACGAGAAGCUUGCUUCUCUGAUGUUAGCGGCGGACGGGUGAGUAACACGUGGAUAACCUACCUAUAAGACUGGGAUAACUUCGGGAAACCGUAGCUAAUACCGGAUAAUAUUUUGAACCGCAUGGUUCAAAAGUGAAAGACGGUCUUGCUGUCACUUAUAGAUGGAUCCGCGCUGCAUUAGCUAGUUGGUAAGGUAACGGCUUACCAAGGCAACGAUGCAUAGCCGACCUGAGAGGGUGAUCGGCAACACUGGAACUGAGACAUGGUCCAGACUCCUACGGGAGGCAGCAGUAGGGAAUCUUCCGCAAAGGGCGAAAGCCUGACGGAGCAACGCCGCGUGAGUGAUGAAGGUCUUCGGAUCGUAAAACUCUGUUAUUAGGGAAGAACAUAUGUGUAAGUAACUGUGCACAUCGUGACGGUACCUAAUCAGAAAGCCACGGCUAACUACGUG
rnacentral:rRNA from 1 species